rnacentral:rRNA from 1 species
GACGAACGCUGGCGGCGUGCCUAAUACAUGCAAGUUGAGCGCUGAAGGUUGGUACUUGUACCGACUGGAUGAGCAGCGAACGGGUGAGUAACGCGUGGGGAAUCUGCCUUUGAGCGGGGGACAACAUUUGGAAACGAAUGCUAAUCCCGCAUAAAAACUUUAAACACAAGUUUUAAGUUUGAAAGAUGCAAUUGCAUCACUCAAAGAUGAUCCCGCGUUGUAUUAGCUAGUUGGUGAGGUAAAGGCUCACCAAGGCGAUGAUACAUAGCCGACCUGAGAGGGUGAUCGGCCACAUUGGGACUGAGACACGGCCCAAACCCCUACGGGAGGCAGCAGUAGGGAAUCUUCGGCAAUGGACGAAAGUCUGACCGAGCAACGCCGCGUGAGUGAAGAAGGUGUUCGGAUCGUAAAACUCUGUUGGUAGAGAAGAACGUGGGUGAGAGUGGAAAGCUCAUCAAGUGACGGUAACUACCCAGAAAGGGACGGCUAACUACGUG